rnacentral:misc_RNA from 1 species
GUAUUUAAAUGCGUUUAUAGCAAUAAGACAUUCUAGACUUUAAGCGUGUGUAUAAAAACGUAGUGCCGUUCGUCCCCCCAUUAGCCAGAGUUCAUUCACCUAAUGAAAGGCUUCCGAAACAUCCUUUAAACAGGUUCAGAGACAACAACUACAAGUGUGCACAGGUGUGAGUGGAUGAGCAAUGAAUGUGCACAUGCCCCGAGAGGCCAGCGACAAUCCAUGUCAGAACUCGAUAAUGAUCCUUCCGCAGGUUCACCUACGGAAA